CCCCUCCCCCAAAAUCCCCACUUUCAAAUUCUUCAAAUCCAAGAUAACCCUACAAUGCAAAGGAUCAUAAUAGCAAAAGUGAAGAAAAAGUUUAUAUUCUUUAAGAAAAGACCCACAGCAUUGCUUUGAUCAUUGAAGCCGGUUGCUGUUGUCCCUGUUGGACCUAAGGUUGUCCCUGCACCACCAAACACUGUGCUUGGAGUCCCUGUGCUUGAGCCAGUGGUGGUUGGUGUGCCGGUGGUUGUCCCAGUUGGUGUGGUCAUGCCUGUGCUACUGCAAAUUAAAAAAAAAAAAAGUAAAGUAAACCGUGGUUGAUCUAAAAGGGAAUCAAUCUUGCUGUGAAAGCAAAUUGGUAACAUGACAAAAUGUCCAACAAGAAGGAAUUAGUAAAGUUUAAAAAAAGACAACUAACUUUUACAAAUUUCAACAUCAUGGCAGCUCAUUUUGCUGUUUCAACAAAGAUGCUUUUUCAAGAAAUCAAAGAAAGAUAACAUCAGAGAAUAGUUUAUGAAAAAGUUUUUUUUUUUUUUGUUAAAAAAAGGUUCACUGAAAUAUAUUAGAAAGGAAACUUCCAUGGAUGUAAAUGUGAUUCAAUAAGCUGAAAGGUUUAAUCUUAAUGCUAAACUGGGUUGGUUCAAGUAGUUGUUCAAGUACUUGUU
rnacentral:lncRNA from 1 species